GUGGCCACCGAUCCAACCGAACACGAACCGGUCAACUGCGCCAGUCCUCACUCAGCUCACUCUGCUCUCUUCUCUCGAACUCUCCACACCCUUGACAACACCAUCGACCCUCGUCAGAUCCAGCGAGCCGGAGGAGAACUCCAGGCCGAACUCCCACACCGUCAGAUGCCGGCCACGGCGAAUGGCGGCGCGCGGGCGGAGUAGGCAGCAGCCCGCGUCUUCCUUCCCAUGGAGACGAGGCCGGCGCAGCUGUCGGCGAGUCCGACGGACAUGAAGAGGGCGGUGCGCGAGCGGAUGAGGCAGCAGCAGCCGGGCCUUCCCACAUGGAGACGAAGCCGGAGGAGCUCCCGCGGCGCUGACGGACGGGAGGGGGAGGGAGCCGUGGAGCAGAGGAGGCAGCAGCCGCGCCUUCCCCCAUGGGAACGAGGCCGGAGGAGCUCUUGGCGAUUGCUGUACCAAUUGUUGUGCGCGUACAAGAUGAACAAGCUUACCCGACAUCGCGAGACCAGCUGCAAAAGAAAAUCAGGUGAGUUAGUUGCGUAUAGCUGGCUCCGUUCAGCAAAGACCAGCUGAGGAGAAAUCACAGGUCGUGGCCGGAGCCACAGGUGUGCAUCAGGGGAAAUCCAUCCGUUACGUGGCGACUCCAUGAGUUUGGUUUCGCCAGUGAUGAAGUUGUACCUGUACAAGCGAUGUAAAAAGACAAAGUAGACACAUCCACCGUCCAUGUCUAGCUGGGUGGAGUCUGCAGCGAAGCUCGUGGGGAACCCAAGGUACAGGACAUGAUCACCCAAACUCCGGCCAUCUCUCACCACCCAUCGCAUCUUGACCUUGCCACCGUCCACUUCUUCUUCCGCUUCAUGCACCAUCACCGCUAGCGUUGGUACCACGGGGUCAUUGGUGGACAAGGUGUCCAUGUUUUUAUGGUGCCAUUCAUGCUCGAGUAAGACGGACGCCCACAACAGCUUGCCGCGGGACUCGAAGACGUAGUUGUAAUAGCGCAUGUAACGUUUGUGCUCGGGUCUAUCCUCCGUCAUCUCGAGCCUGAUGCCGUCUAUGUCACCACCAUUGUUUGCUAAAUUCUGUGUCAUGAAGCAGUAGAAGUGUCUCCGCGUCCACACAAAGACCUUGCCAUCGUGAUAUGCGGCACAGUUGUUAUUCUA